GUGUUCGCUUCAGCAGCACACAUACUAAAACUGGAAUGAUAUAGAGAAGAUUAGCACGGCCCCUGCGCAAGGAUGACACGCAAAUUUGUGAAGCAUUCCAUAUUUUU
rnacentral:snRNA from 1 species